UGGGGAAUAUUGCACAAUGGGCGCAAGCCUGAUGCAGCCAUGCCGCGUGUGUGAAGAAGGCCUUCGGGUUGUAAAGCACUUUCAGCGGGGAGGAAGGCGCUAAGGUUAAUAACCUUGUCGAUUGACGUUACCCGCAGAAGAAGCACCGGCUAACUCCGUGCCAGCCGCCGCGGUACUACGGAGGGUGCAAGCGUUAAUCGGAAUUACUGGGCGUAAAGCGCACGCAGGCGGUCUGUCAAGUCGGAUGUGAAAUCCCCGGGCUUAACCUGGGAACUGCAGUGGAAACUGGCAGGCUAGAGUGUUGGAGAGGGGGGUAGAAGUCCAGGUGUAGCGGUGAAAUGCGUAGAGAUCUGGAGGAAGACCGGUGGCGAAGGCGGCCCCCUGGACAAAGACGGACGCUCAGGUGCGAAAGCGUGGGGAGCAAACAGG
rnacentral:rRNA from 1 species